rnacentral:rRNA from 1 species
AGAGUUUGAUCAUGGCUCAGGAUGAACGCUGGCGGCGUGCUUAAUACAUGCAAGUCGAACGGGGGUCCGCAAGGAUCCUAGUGGCGAACGGGUGAGUAACGCGUUGGUGACCUACCCCAAAGUGUGGGAUAACAGUCCGAAAGGAUUGCUAAUACCGCAUGUGGUCAUUGGAUUUAGAACCUGAUGACUAAAGGAGCAAUUCGCUUUGGGAGGGACCUGCGUCCCAUCAGCUAGUUGGUGAGGUAAUGGCUCACCAAGGCUACGACGGGUAGGGGACCUGAGAGGGUGGCCCCCCACAAUGGAACUGAAACACGGUCCAUACACCUACGGGUGGCAGCAGUAGGGGAUAUUGCUCAAUGGGCGAAAGCCUGAAGCAGCAACGCCGCGUGUGUGAUGAAGGCCUUCGGGUCGUAAAGCACUUUUCUGGGAGAUGAGAAAGGACAGUAUCCCAGGAAUAAGUCUCGGCUAACUACGUGCCAGCAGCCGCGGUAAUUC